rnacentral:tRNA from 1 species
GGUGAGGUACCCAAGUGGUUUAAGGGGACGGUUUGCUAAACCGUUAGGUCGGUUUGUGCCGGCGCGAGGGUUCGAAUCCCUCCCUCACCG